ACGCUGGCGGCGUGCUUAACACAUGCAAGUCGAACGAUGAAGCCCAGCUUGCUGGGUGGAUUAGUGGCGAACGGGUGAGUAACACGUGAGUAACCUGCCCUUGACUCUGGGAUAAGCGUUGGAAACGACGUCUAAUACCGGAUACGAGCUUCCACCGCAUGGUGAGUUGCUGGAAAGAAUUUUGGUCAAGGAUGGACUCGCGGCCUAUCAGCUUGUUGGUGAGGUAACGGCUCACCAAGGCGACGACGGGUAGCCGGCCUGAGAGGGUGACCGGCCACACUGGGACUGAGACACGGCCCAGACUCCUACGGGAGGCAGCAGUGGGGAAUAUUGCACAAUGGGCGAAAGCCUGAUGCAGCAACGCCGCGUGAGGGACGACGGCCUUCGGGUUGUAAACCUCUUUUAGCAGGGAAGAAGCGAAAGUGACGGUACCUGCAGAAAAAGCACCGGCUAACUAC
rnacentral:rRNA from 1 species